UACAGGGAGAAUUUUUUUGAAUAGUUCAGGGUUUAGGGAUCGUUUAUAUUAGAAGGUACAACUAACUCCAACCAACGCUUGAUGGUUCAACAAUGGCGAUUUAAUGGAAUUGAAUUUGCCAGAUGGGGCAAUAGGGAAUGAAUGGGUGAGGGUGUAAUUUACUGAUACACCCUUGAGCUGACUGAUUUAUUUGGUAUUUUGCUACUGCUUUGUUUUAGGAACUAGGGGACGUUCUGGGUCCACUUUGUUAACGAUGGCGUAGGAUUUAAAUUAUGUUUAUGGAUCAGUUAUUAAAAUAAUAUUGUAUAUGGUAAUGGAUAUAUUUUUUGACGAAUAGUAUUUAGUAAAAAAAUAUAUUAUAAUGUAUGAGUAUACGUGAGGAAAAGAGUUGUUGAACUACGCAGGAUGAAAUGUGUGGAUUAUUUCUAAUGUAAGUACAAAUAUUGUGUUGGUGAAGUGGUAUUUCUUACGUGAGUAUUCUCACACGUGUUACAUUUCCCACCUCUUAUUACUGAGUUAAAAAUCAGGAGGGUAUUUUGAUUUUGUUAGUUCUUGGACCAAAUGGAUUUCGUAGAUAGUCGUCGUGGAGUUCUUUGGUGAGAAAAAAAAGAUGCAACGGAGCUUUAACUUCACUGGUGUCGUCUCGUGGUUUGCAUCUAAGAAUAUAUACAUCUUUCAACGAUUCAUAUGAUGACACAUGCAUAAUGGAUAUGUGAAUUCGUGAAUAAAACGACCAGUCGAACAAUAAUCUUUCCAUUUUUAAGCUAGAUUUUGAUCAGGUUGACUAAAAGCCAAACAUGUUGUGGACACUUGCACACCAACACCAAAUGACUGAGUAUUUGUAUUUUUUGAUAAAACAGUAUCUGCUACAUUACCACGUUUCUUUGCUGUUUCUAACUUCGAUAUUUUAAACAAAAAUUAGCUUGUUGUUUCAUUCUUUUUCUUUUUUUGCUGGAAAAAUCAAGGCUACAAGUUAAUAACAAGGGGGAGUACCAACACACAUGCAAAAAUGAAAACAUAAUAAAAAUAAAUAAUUAAGCAUAUAUAUAUUUAAAAUACAAUAUUAUAUUUGUAAUAACGUGCUAUAUUUAUACAUGCCUGCAUAUAAAUCAGUAAAUUGUCAAUACCAUCAAAAGCAAAAAAAAAAAAACAUAUAAAGGUGAUAUAAACAAAUGCGUUUUAAAGAUAACUAAAGGUGAUGAAAUAGAAUCCAAGAAGGUCGUUUCAAUUGAAAGAACAUUGAAGCCAAUCAUUUAGUAUGUCAAAAAUCAUUAUCAUCAUCAACACCAUCGCCACUACAUGUACGUAACUACAACUUGAUUAUCAUCUUCAUUAUUUUUGUUGAUUAGUAAGCGAUUACAAACUGAUGAUGAAACAUGCUACACAUUAACAAUUGAUAGAGCCAUAGUACAUCUUAGUUCUUAAAACUAAUGAUGAGGAAGGAAAAAGAAUGUAGUAAUCAUUACGAUUCAAUUGUUUCCGACCUUUGCUAGUUGUGGAGAUGACGGUUGGUAGUUAGAUCACUGAGAAUGGCCAAACAUUUAGCAUUAAUAUUGUGGAGGGAUUGUAAUUGUCAAAACACAGGGACCAUAUAAAUAAAUCGUAAUUAUAGGGACGAGAGUCUGCAAUUCGAAAACUCGCGCACGUAAGAUGUGAAGAAGACGCGUUGACAUUAAUGCGACACGCUUCCUCAGAUCAAGUCUUCUAUUCGCCUUUCGGUUUAAUUUCCUCACGUCGAACAUGCUAGAAUGUGUGAAUGUGUCGAAUAUUUGCGGAAAGAUUGUGUGGCAAGUCACCCAGUAACUGAGAACACCAAUUAUAAAUAGAUAAGUACUGUAAAUGUCGAAGAACUUACGGAGCUAUUUGAGUAAGAUGAUAAUUCGUGGAAGAAAUAACCAUCUCUAUGUCCACUCUUUUUUUCUUUAUUAUUAUUAUUAUUAUCUUUUUCACAUUUCUUCUUUAGGUUGCUCUUGUUUUUAAACCCUAAAGAAGUUACCUGUGUUUCAUGUAGAUAUUUCAUGUUUUAAUUACGUGUUUUUUUUGGGGGGGGGGGGGGGAGGGGGAGGGAAGGGGGGCGGAGUUCGUUCGGUUCAUUUGUGUGUUGCUAUAGUCGAAGUUUAAUUGAAAUUUGAAAUCAUUUUGGUUUAGUACGUACAAGUAAAAUGUUUUAACAAAACAUGUACUCUUAAAGAAUCCGUGAAGAAAAAUAUGAUACAACAUCGUCAUGGAUGAAUUACGAAUAUAUUUCUAUCAUUCGUGUAUCUGUUUGAUUUCCAUCAUUAUUGCUUCACUCUAUUGAAUAUUCUAUUAUUAUUUUGUAGCAUCAAUCAUAGUGCAUAAUUUAAUUAUAACGUAACCGCUUCAAGAUUCAACUACUCUGCCACGGGUAUCAUUAACAAGUUGGUGGCAAACAAACAAAAAAACACAAGUUAGGCAUACAUCUAAAAUAUAUGGUUACUUGUUAGGAACAUUUAUUGAUGACACUAAUUUUCGGAUUUUGAAGGUACAAAUGUAACAACGCACUCACUUUAUAACGCAUGGAUUUAUCAUUUAUGUAUCGGUUAUUUCAAUCAUACAUACAUGUAAAUAUGUGUGCGUUACUAUAUCUAUGUUCACACUUAUAUCAUCAAAGCUAGUGUUGUUAAUUUAGUAUGCUAUAAACCAGACGAUUACCGUAAGUUUUUAUAAUAAUGUUUGUUUAUUAAAUGAUUUUAACAUUUUGCAAUACUACAAUCUUUAUCGAUUAUAAAAUGACGAAUACAAAUGUUUGUUUCUUAAAUAUCAUCGUUGUUGAAGAGUUAAUAUAUUACAUGUCAUUUAAAUUAUUUUUAAGACUUCAUAUGCACAAAAAAAAUUAAGUUUUGCGGCUGACACUAAUUAUCAAAACCAAAUAGGCAACAUCGAUUGUAUAAUGACGAAAGAGAAUUAAGUUUUCAGUUUUCGAUUUGUUUACUAUUAACUCUCCAUAAGUGAUUUCAUUUUAUACAUCUAUAAAAUUUUGCUUUCGUUCUCGCCUUUGUUUCGUUUAUGUGAGUUAAGUUUUUUUUUAACUUCUUCUAUGAAUUCGGUAAAUUACAUAAGUGUCAAUUUAAAAAGUUGACAUCUGUAAAAAUUAGUUUCACUCGAGAAACAUAUCUAAGAAUCAAAACUUUGAAAAAAAUCACAGACAAACUAUAUUAACAGGUUAGUGUUCAAAUCUAAAAUAUCAAUUUAUUAUAGAAUAUAAGUGCAGACUCGAAAUAUAAUUGUCUGUCUAAUAUAUAUUCACCAGCUCGGUCUAAAAAUCAUCUAAUUCUAGAACAACAAAAAAAUAAUUAUUUCACCAGUUUGGAUAAUAUCUGAUUCCGAACGGGUAAUAUCUGAACCCGAAUGAAUAUCCGAAGAUAACCAAACUUAAGUAUACUUAACCUAUAUUUUUAGUUUACUUCUCCUAUUUUAUUCAAAAUAUUUAUAUUAAUGAUGCUUAUUGCUCAAAAUUAGAUAAUAUACAUAUAAUCAUAGACAAAAUCAUUUACUACUCACUUAAAAUACAUAUUCAGCUCGUGUUUCUUGCAAUAACAAAAGUUGUAUCUAAAAUUUCAAAAAACAAGUAAGUUAUUGUCUUUCUAUUUUUAAAGUUUUAUCUCCAAACCUAUUAAUAGUUUAAUAUUUU